GAUGAACGCUGGCGGCAUGCCUAACACAUGCAAGUCGAUCGGUAAGGCUCUUCGGAGUACACGAGAGGCGGACGGCUGGGUAACGCGUAGGGACACACCCUGCAGUGUGGGAUAAGACACCGAAAGGCGUUCUAAUACUGCAUACGGUCCUCGGAUUAAAGCAUUUAUGCGCUCAAGGAGUGUUCUGCGUCAUAUUAGAUAGUUGGUCAGGUAAUGGCUUACCAAGUCGAUGAUGUGUAGCUGGUCUGAGAGGACGAUCAGCCAGACUGGAAGUGAGACACGGUCCAGACUCCUACGGGAGGCAGGAGUGAGGGAUAUUUCACAAUGAGCGAAAGGUUGAUGGAGCAAUGCCGCGUGCAGGAUGUAGGCGCUCGAGUUGUAAACUGCUUUUAUAAGAGGAGAUUAUGACGGUAACUUAUGAAUAAGCAACGGCUAACUACGUG
rnacentral:rRNA from 1 species